AUGAGACUGUGGGGUCUUCUCCUUUGUCUGGUGACAGCCCCCCCGGGUGUCCUGUCCCAGGUGCAGCUGCAGGAGUCGGGCCCAGGACUGGUGGCCCCCUCCCAGACCCUGUCCCUCAUCUGCUCUGUCUCUGGAUUCUCCAUCACAACCAGUGGUUCCUGCUGGCACUGGAUCCGCCAGCCCCCAGGGAAGGGCCUGCUCUGGUUGGGACUCAUUUGUUAUAAUGGACACACCAACUACAGCCCGUCCCUCAAGGGCCGCAUCUCCAUCACCAGAGACACGAACAAGAACCAGUUCUCCCUACAGCUGAGCUCAGUGACCCCCGAGGACACAGCUGUGUAUUACUGUGUGAGAUAUCCCUUCUCUUGGGUCCAUCAGGGUCAGCCUGGGUUCACAUAUGAUGUUCCAUUUCCUGAUAUAGAGGAUGGUUUUUAG